AGUGAACGCUGGCGGUAGGCCUAACACACGCAAGUCGAACGGCAGCACAGGAGAGCUUGCUCUCUGGGUGGCGAGUGGCGGACGGGUGAGGAAUACAUCGGAAUCUACUCUGUCGUGGGGGAUAACGUAGGGAAACUUACGCUAAUACCGCAUACGACCUACGGGUGAAAGCAGGGGACCUUCGGGCCUUGCGCGAUUGAAUGAGCCGAUGUCGGAUUAGCUAGUUGGCGGGGUAAAGGCCCACCAAGGCGACGAUCCGUAGCUGGUCUGAGAGGAUGAUCAGCCAGACUAGGACUCAAACACGGUCAAGACUCAACCGGGAGGCAGCAGUGGGGACUGUUGGACAAUGGGCGCAAGCCUGUUCCAGCCAUACCGCGUGGGUGAAGAAGGCCUUCGGGUUGUAAAGCCCUUUUGUUGGGAAAGAAAUCCAGCUGGCUAAUACCCGCUUGGGAUGACGGUACCCAAAGAAUAAGCACCGGCUAACUUCGUGCCAGCCGCCGCCGUAA
rnacentral:rRNA from 1 species